ACGCUGAGGCGCGAAAGCGUGGGGAGCGAACAGGAUUAGAUACCCUGGUAGUCCACGCCGUAAACGAUGAGUGCUAGGUGUGGGUGGGGAUGCCCAUCCGUGCCGAAGGAAACCCAAUAAGCACUCCGCCUGGGGAGUACGGCCGCAAGGCUGAAACUCAAAGGAAUUGACGGGGGCCCGCACAAGCGGUGGAGCAUGUGGUUUAAUUCGAAGCAACGCGAAGAACCUUACCAGGGCUUGACAUCCCUCUGACACCUUCAGAGAUGAGGGGUUUCCUUCGGGGACAGAGGAGACAGGUGGUGCAUGGUUGUCGUCAGCUCGUGUCGUGAGAUGUUGGGUUAAGUCCCGCAACGAGCGCAACCCUUGCUCUGUGUUGCCAGCACGAGAGGUGGGCACUCACAGGGGACUGCCGGCGAGGAGCCGGAGGAAGGCGGGGAUGACGUCAAAUCAUCAUGCCCCAUAUGUCCUGGGCUACACACGUGCUACAAUGGGCGGUACAACGGGGAGCGAAGGGGCGACCUGGAGCGAAUCCCUGAAAGCCGUUCGUAGUUCGGAUUGCAGGCUGCAACUCGCCUGCAUGAAGGCGGAAUCGCUAGUAAUCGCGGAUCAGCAUGCCGCGGUGAAUCCGUUCCCGGGCCUUGUACACACCGCCCGUCACACCACGAGAGUCGGCAACACCCGAAGUCGGUG
rnacentral:rRNA from 1 species